GGCAGAGUAAGCUUCCGUGCGUGAAGUGCCGAGUGGACAGGGAGUUGUCACUCGGACGAAGAGACAGGAAGGCGAUGAGUCUGUCAUCGCCAUCCCGUCUCGCGGUACGGAAGCUGCAUCCCGCUGCU
ncrna:unclassified sequences THF riboswitch